GUUCUAGGCCUGGGGCUGGUGAAGAGGUUCUGGGAGGGCAGAUGGCUCUCAGGUGCAGCAGGUCCUUGGCUCCCCAGAUCAAUAGCCAUGUGAGGAAGCCAAGGCCCCCACCUCCCCAUUUCCCUUCCAGGUGUCAGAGGCUGUGAGGAGCAUUCAUAACCACCUGGACUCCAUCAGCGAGCCACUUGCCCGGCAGGAGCUGCGCAGGGCCCUUCUCCUGCUGGGCUACCGGUUCAGCGAGGAGGUGGUCAGAACCCUGCUGGGCUGCUCACUGUCAUGUGACAGUGUUGCUGCGGAGAUGUGGAAGAUGCUGACAUCCCAGCCCAAGACCACAAGAAAGAUCCUUGGGGAGCUGGUCAGCAGGCUGCAGGAGCCGGCUCGGCGACGGCAUCAGCUCUCUGAGAGACCGGCUGGCUUCCCCCGCUUGGCCGGCCAUGGUUUCGCUCAAUUUCCAGGAGCGAAACUGGAUUUUCCACCAUCUCAUGGCCAUCCUCAACGAUCGGGACGAUAGGCGGUACGUCCCGGCCGUGGCGCUCUUCAUUCAGCUCCUCCAGUGCCCUGACCUUGGCAACGAGCUGGAAGACGCCAUCGUGGAGGAGAUGAGCAGGCAGCUGAGAGACCCCCAGACCGUGGUGCGCUGGUUGGCGCUCAAAGGCCUCCUCAAUCUGGCCCUUCUCCCAGAGAAGGUGAGAGGGGAGGAGGGCUGGGGGAUAAACCCAGAACCGCAGGGAGCUGCUGCAGGGCUGGGGUCAUUGAAACCUUCCCGGGGGUAUGGCCCUGGCCUGGAGUCAGGAGCCCUGGCUUCUAUUCCUGGCUCUGCCACUGACCUGCGGGGUGCCCUUGGGCAAGCCCCUGCCUGG